rnacentral:piRNA from 2 species
AUGUUAAGUAAGCCAGGUUCAGC